rnacentral:rRNA from 1 species
AGCGAACGCUGGCGGCAGGCCUAACACAUGCAAGUCGAACGGACCCUUCGGGGUUAGUGGCGGACGGGUGAGUAACACGUGGGAACGUGCCUUUAGGUUCGGAAUAGCUCCUGGAAACGGGUGGUAAUGCCGAAUGUGCCCUUCGGGGGAAAGAUUUAUCGCCUUUAGAGCGGCCCGCGUCUGAUUAGCUAGUUGGUGAGGUAACGGCUCACCAAGGCGACGAUCAGUAGCUGGUCUGAGAGGAUGACCAGCCACACUGGGACUGAGACACGGCCCAGACUCCUACGGGAGGCAGCAGUGGGGAAUCUUGCGCAAUGGGCGAAAGCCUGACGCAGCCAUGCCGCGUGAAUGAUGAAGGUCUUAGGAUUGUAAAAUUCUUUCACCGGGGACGAUAAUGACGGUACCCGGAGAAGAAGCCCUGGCUAACUUCGUG